GCUUUGAUCUACACAAUACAGUGGGAACAGUGCCAUCCAAGUCUCAGACUUGGCCCUGAGAGUGGCUCAGAUUGUAUAUCUCAGUCUAGUAGGCUCUUGCCUAAGACCUCUGCAUGCAGAGGCUGCUUGCUUUCCUACAGAGUGUGAGAGAUGGCAGCUUAAGGACCCUAAUGAUCCUCCUGCUUGGAUGGCAGCAGGGAUUACUCCCCUGGGGAGCUCCAGUGAACCCCAGAAUUGUGGAUGUGAAGGCUGAUCCUUUAUCAUAUUCCAAUGUCUGCUGGAAGAUCCCCAGUCACCUAUGUCAGCUAGACUGCUCAGGUAGACAUAACGGGGCUGUUCAUCUCUUGUCCUUCAGAGCUGAUGUUGACCUGCCCACCAUCUGCUCUGACCCUCAUCC
rnacentral:lncRNA from 1 species